rnacentral:snRNA from 1 species
AUCGCUUCUCAGCCUUUUGGCUAAGAUCAAGUGUAAAAGUUGGUAACUUAAUAUUCAAUAUCAGAGCAAGUAUAUAUGUUUCAUCAUAUCUUUUGUUCUUUAUUCAAGAUAAAAUGUU